UACGUAGGGGGCAAGCGUUGUCCGGAAUCAUUGGGCGUAAAGAGCGCGUAGGCGGUUCGUACAGUCAGACGUGAAAUUCCUGGGCUCAACCUGGGGGCUGCGUUUGAUACGUGCGGACUUGAGUGCGGAAGAGGGUCGUGGAAUUCCCAGUGUAGAGGUGAAAUUCGUAGAUAUUGGGAAGAACACCGGUGGCGAAGGCGGCGACCUGGUCCGAUACUGACGCUGAGGCGCGAAAGCGUGGGGAGCAAACAGG
rnacentral:rRNA from 1 species